CGGGGUGCAGCAGGCGCGAAACCUCUGCAAUAGGCGAAAGCCUGACAGGGUUACUCUGAGUGAUUCCCGCUAAGGGGAUCUUUUGGCACCUCUAAAAAUGGUGCAGAAUAAGGGGUGGGCAAGCCUGGUGUCAGCCGCCGCGGUAAUACCAGCACCCCGAGUGGUCGGGACGAUUAUUGGGCCUAAAGCAUCCGUAGCCGGCCACGCAAGUCCUCCGUUAAAUCCACCCGCUCAACGGUUGGGCUGCGGAGGAUACUACGUGGCUAGGAGGCGGGAGAGGCAAGCGGUACUCAAUGGGUAGGGGUAAAAUCCUUUGAUCCAUUGAAGACCACCAGUGGCGAAGGCGGCUUGCCAGAACGCGCUCGACGGUGAGGGAUGAAAGCUGGGGGAGCAAACCGGAUUAGAUACCCGGGUAGUCCCAGCUGUAAACGAUGCAGACUCGGUGAUGGGAUGGCCUCGAGCCAUCCCAGUGCCGCAGGGAAGCCGUUAAGUCUGCCGCCUGGGGAGUACGGUCGCAAGACUGAAACUUAAAGGAA
rnacentral:rRNA from 1 species